UUGUAAAGCACUUUCAGUCGUGAGGAAGGCGGGUACGUUAUAGCGUAUUCGUUUGACGUUAGCGACAGAAGAAGCACCGGCUAACUCUGUGCCAGCAGCCGCGGUAAUACGGAGGGUGCGAGCGUUAAUCGGAAUUACUGGGCGUAAAGCGCAUGCAGGUGGUUUGUUAAGUCAGAUGUGAAAGACCCGGGGCGUCAACCUCGGAAUAGCAUUUGAAACUAGGCAGACUAGAGUACUGUAGAGGGGGGUAGGAAUUUCAGGUGUAGCGGUGAAAUGCGUAGAGAUCUGAAGGAAUACCGGUGGCGAAGGCGGCCCCCUCGGACAGAUACUGACACUCAGAUGCGAAAGCGUGGGGAGCAAACAGGAUUAGAUACCCUGGUAG
rnacentral:rRNA from 1 species